GACGAACGCUGGCGGCGUGCUUAACACAUGCAAGUCGAGCGGUAAGGCCCUUUCGGGGGUACACGAGCGGCGAACGGGUGAGUAACACGUGGGUGACCUGCCCUCAGCUCUGGGAUAAGCCUGGGAAACCGGGUCUAAUACCGGAUAUGACUCCAUGACGCAUGUUGUGGGGUGGAAAGCCUUGUGCGGCUGAGGAUGGGCCCGCGGCCUAUCAGCUUGUUGGUGGGGUGANGGCCUACCAAGGCGACGACGGGUAGCCGGCCUGAGAGGGCGACCGGCCACACUGGGACUGAGACACGGCCCAGACUCCUACGGGAGGCAGCAGUGGGGAAUCUUGCGCAAUGGGCGAAAGCCCUGACGCAGCGACGCCGCGUGAGGGAUGACGGCCUGGUUGUAAC
rnacentral:rRNA from 1 species